GACGAACGCUGGCGGCGUGCUUAACACAUGCAAGUCGAACGAAGUGGCGAACGGGUGAGUAAUACGUGAGUAACAUGCCCUCAUUUUUGGGAUAAGCCUUGGAAACGGGGUCUAAUACCGAAUAAAGGGGGAUGGGCUCGCGGCCUAUCAGCUUGUUGGUGGGGUGAGGGCCUACCAAGGCGGUGACGGGUAGCCGGCCUGAGGGGGUGUCCGGCCACAUUAGGACUGGCAUAGAAACCGACAUGAUACUCUGUGGAUCAGUGUGGGAGAUUGCACAAUGGGCGAAGACCUGAUGCGGCGAAGCCGCGUGGUGAAUGAAGGCUUUCGCGUUGUAAACCUCUUUCGCUAUCGAACGGGUAGGUGGAGAGGAAGCGCCGGCUAACUACGUGCCAGCAGCCGCGGUAAUUC
rnacentral:rRNA from 1 species